rnacentral:tRNA from 1 species
GCCUGGCUAGCUCAAUCGGUAGAGCGUGAGACUCUUAAUCUCAAGGCUGUGGGUUUAAGCCCCACGUCAGGCU